rnacentral:rRNA from 1 species
AGCGAACGCUGGCGGCAGGCCUAACACAUGCAAGUCGAACGAACCUUUCGGGGUUAGUGGCGGACGGGUGAGUAACACGUCGGAACGUGCCUUUAGGUUCGGAAUAACUCAGGGACACUUGUGCUAAUACCGAAUGUGCCCUUCGGGGGAAAGAUUUAUCGCCCUUAGAGCGGCCCGCGUCUGAUUAGCUAGUUGGUUGAGGUAAUGGCUCACCAAGGCGACGAUCAGUAGCUGGUCUGAGAGGAUGAUCAGCCACAUUGGGACGGAGACACGGCCCAAACUCCUACGGGAGGCGGCAGUGGGGGAUCUUGCGAAAUGGGCGAAAGGCUGACGCAGCCAUGCCGCGUGAAUGAUGAAGGUCUUAGGGUUGUAAAAUUCUUUCACCGGGGACGAUAAUGACGGUACCCGGAGAAGAAGCCCCGGCUAACUUCGUG